AUCUAUGGCCAUGCCACCCUCAACAUGCCAGAUCUUUUCUGAUCUCGGAAGCAAAGCAGGGUUCGGCCUGGUUAGUACUUGGAUGGGAGACCACCUAGGAAUACCAGGUGCUGUAGGCA
rnacentral:rRNA from 1 species